GCGGGCGCUCCCCUGUCUGGGGGGUGCUUGGCUGGGUGUGGAGAAGGAUCAAUCACAGCUGACUCCUCAGAGGUGACAGCCCCUGCCCCCUUAAAAACAAGAAAAGACCUAGCAGUGUGAAGCCAAACUGCACCCCCAGCCCCGGUGACAUGAGGAAACCGUGAGGCGCUCAGCCUGAGGUUCAUCGUUCAUCUCCUUCCUGCUUGGAAUCAGAAUGUCCUCACUGCUGAGUUUCUCCGUUUUAUGGGAUUACAUUAGUGGACAAAGGAGGAAGUCCCAGCCGGGAACACAGAAAGGAUAUGGAGAAAAUUAUUAUUCUGCCCCUACAGUUUCGGUGACCCAGAUGGGAUCUCUGGGACACCCUGCCUGCUCUACAAUUGGGAUCCCUGGAAAAGUGACAGAAUCUGGCAACAGAUGAGUAAGAAAGGUCACUUCCUGGCAGACCUCAGGUAUAUUGGGGACAUCAAGAAAAGAAUAAUUCAUCAAAGUCUAUAGAUAUUGCAGGCAAAGUUGAAACAAGCCAGACAAGUUCUCUUUGUAUUCUUGAGAGACUUGGAAAGUCUAACCUGAGAUUCCUUAUUAAAAGUUCCAGCAAAACAGA
rnacentral:antisense_RNA from 1 species